rnacentral:rRNA from 1 species
CAGCAGCCGCGGUAAUACAGAGGGUGCAAGCGUUAAUCGGAAUUACUGGGCGUAAAGCGCGCGUAGGUAGUUCGCCAAGUUGGAUGUGAAAUCCCUGAGCUUAACUUAGGAAUUGCAUUCGAUACUGGGAAGCUAGAGUAUGGGAGAGGAUGGUAGAAUUCCAGGUGUAGCGGUGAAAUGCGUAGAGAUCUGGAGGAAUACCGAUGGCGAAGGCAGCCAUCUGGCCUAAUACUGACGCUGAGGUACGAAAGCAUGGGGAGCAAACAGGAUUAGAUACCCGAGUAGUCCCUGUCUCUUAUAC